GUCUUAUUGAUUAUAAUUUUAAGUCUAAUCUGCCCAAUGAGUAAUUAAAUGGCUGCAGUAUUUUAACUGUACAAAGGUAGCAUAAUAAUUAGUUUCUUAAUUAGGAACUGGAAUGAAUGAUUGGACGAAAUAGUGACUGUCUUAGUUUAAAUUUUAGAAUUUUAUUUUUGAGUUAAAAAGCUUAAAUUUUUUUAAAAGACGAGAAGACCCUAUAGAAUUUUAUAUUAUUUGAAUAUUUUGUUAUUAGAAUUUUAAUAUAGAAUUUUUUAAUUAGUAUUUAGUUGGGGUGAUUGAAAAAUUUAAUAAACUUUUUUUAUUAUUAACAUUAAUGUAUGAUUAUAUGAUCCAGUUUUUCUGAUUAUAAGAUUAAAUUACCUUAGGGAUAACAGCGUAAUUUUUUUAGAGAGUUCUAAUCGAUAAAAGAGAUUGCGACCUCGAUGUUGGAUUAAAGUUUAUUUUUAAUGUAGGAGUUAAAAUAUUAGGUCUGUUCGACCUUUAAAAUUUUACAUGAUCUGAGUUUAAACCGGUGUGAGCCAGGUUGGAUUCUAUCUUUAAUUAAAUUAAAUAUUUUAGUACGAAAGGACCAAGUAUUUAUUAUAAUAAUUUUAUUAGAA
rnacentral:rRNA from 1 species